AGGUGCAGAAACAUCUCAGCGCGAGGUGCCCGGGCUCCACAGAGAGCAGGAGGCUUCCAUCCACCCUUUCCAUCGCAACGCGGGAGCCCCCUCCUCAGAACCUACAUAAGGCACCGAAGCGCAGCCCAGUACGCGCGGGGACCCAUCUGGCCCAGCCCCAGGAAAGCAGCCACCGAGGGCAGACGCGCGCCUUACCUGCUACCAAGAGAUCAGCUGUCUAAACAGCAGCUUUUUUGAUUGUUGGGCUUCCUGAAAGAAACCUUGCUGACAGCUUCUCACUGACCUGCAGGACGGAACCGUACCUGAGAGGGGAUGGGGGCUCUCUCACAAAAGAAUAUUUGGGGCAGAACCCUGGAACUGGCCACCAGGGACAUCCCAAAUAUCCCCUCCUCCUCAGGGCUCACCCCGACAUCCUCAGCCAAAUGAAGGCUCUGAACCCAGCCAUCAGCUCGCAAGGCACAACUCACUUUGCAGGCUAAUCAAAAUGCUUUCUGAAGAAAAGAAAACUAAUUAUCCCACGGCUCUAUUUUUUGUUGUCGUUCUGUUUGAAAUAACUAUGAAGUCUUCACUCUGCCUAACACUAGGCCCCAACCCGCUGUUUCUUUCCACUUUUCAUCUUGCAAAACCAGUGCCUCCAACCUCUCUGGGGCUCACACAUCCCAUCAAUUUAUCAGGGACACAGUAGCAUGUUUAACCCUUUAGCCCUAGGCAGAAGUUCAUCCAGGGGAGUGGGAAAGUAGAGGCUGCUAUUCUGUACUGCUUUUAUUGGGGGGUGCUGGCAGUGGUUAGUUUGAAAAACGUUUGCUGUACGUUGCAUCAGAGGUCACAUUCAUGGGACAAGCUUUGAUUAACAAAUAAUAUAAGAAUUCCCUCUUUUCUUCUCUUACUUCCUACCUGCCUUUAUUUAUUUAUUUUUGCAUUCACAAAACUAAAGAGAAAGUCACUCCACAGAACACGAAUGGAAUAAAAGGCCAACCAUUCUACCUUUCCAAUCCUCACUCUCCCUUUCCCAUUCUUUACUGUUGCGUCAAGCAAUCUGCUGUACGGACGGGUUCGCACUGCUUUCCUUUAUUUUUUUUUCUCUUGCUGGCAUUAGAAAAGCCUGUAAAUAACCCAAGAAGAGGAGAGAAUUUUUUCCUUCAGCUCAUUUUCAUAAGAAACAUGAUACAUAAUACAUGGCACUUUAAUAAGACUUUAUCUGAACGGUUUAAUGAAAAACAAAUACAUUAUGUAAAGACCCAAUAAAUGCUCUUGGCUGCACUAAGGCAA